rnacentral:lncRNA from 1 species
UAUUUCUGGGAUAGUCGAUAAUUGUAAUUUCACAAUUUUUGCCAUAAUAGCUACAUAGCAAAGAUUUCUAAAUGGAAAGUUAUGUUAAUGUUAUGGAUGAUACAUAUCAUGUAUAAUUUAUAAGUGAUUAUUUUACAAAUUGUGUGGAAAAGUUUUGUAGAUGCAAAUAGAAAUAUGUGUACAGUAUUUGUCGGUGGCAUUUUGUAUUGUGAAAUGUUGUAAA